CAGCAUGGUCUUAGCUUGCUAAGACUGAUGGCGACCGGCGCACGGGUGAGUAACACGUAUCCCCCCUUACGUCUACUCUUGGACAGCCUUCUGAAAGGAAGAUUACUACAAGAUGGCAUCAUGAGUCCGCAUGUUCACAUGAUUAAAGGUAUUCCGGUAGACGAUGGGGAUGCGUUCCAUUAGAUAGUAGGCGGGGUAACGGCCCACCUAGUCUUCGAUGGAUAGGGGUUCUGAGAGGAAGGUCCCCCACAUUGGAACUGAGACACGGUCCAAACUCCUACGGGAGGCAGCAGUGAGGAAUAUUGGUCAAUGGGCGAGAGCCUGAACCAGCCAAGUAGCGUGAAGGAUGACUGCCCUAUGGGUUGUAAACUUCUUUUAUAAAGGAAUAAAGUCGGGUAUGCAUACCCGUUUGCAUGUACUUUAUGAAUAAGGAUCGGCUAACUCCGUGCCAGCAGCCGCGGUAAUACGGAGGAUCCGAGCGUUAUCCGGAUUUAUUGGGUUUAAAGGGAGCGUAGAUGGAUGUUUAAGUCAGUUGUGAAAGUUUGCGGCUCAACCGUAAAAUUGCAGUUGAUACUGGAUAUCUUGAGUGCAGUUGAGGCAGGCGGAAUUCGUGGUGUAGCGGUGAAAUGCUUAGAUAUCACGAAGAACUCCGAUUG
rnacentral:rRNA from 1 species